GACGAACGCUGGCGGCGUGCCUAAUACAUGCAAGUCGUGCGGACCUUGUUGAAAGCUUGCUUUUAAAAGGUUAGCGGCGGACGGGUGAGUAACACGUGGGCAACCUGCCUGUAAGACUGGGAUAACGCCGGGAAACCGGGGCUAAUACCAGAUCGUUUUUUCCUCCGCAUGGCGGAAAAAGGAAAGGCGGCUUCGGCUGCCACUUACAGAUGGGCCCGCGGCGCAUUAGCUAGUUGGCGGGGUAAUGGCCCACCAAGGCAAGGCUGCGUAGCAGACCUGAGAGGGGGAUCGGCCACAUUGGGACAGAGACACGGCCCAACCUCCUACGGGAGGCAGCAGUAGGGAAUCUUCCGCAAUGGACGAAAGUCUGACGGAGCAACGCCGCGUGAGUGAAGAAGGCCUUCGGGUCGUAAAACUCUGUUGCCGGGGAAGAACAAGUGCCGUUCGAACAGGGCGGCGCCUUGACGGUACCCGGCCAGAAAGCCACGGCUAACUACGUG
rnacentral:rRNA from 1 species